UUACACAUUUGGAUAUAAAUUAUAAGUUAUUUGGUAAAUUUAUUUAUUCUUUAAGUUCAAUUUUAAAAGUUUUCAAUUUCUUGGUUUACACGGCCUACCGGGGUCUGAUUGGAGGGAAGGAAACUUGACCCGCCCUCUCCUAGCAUGAGGACACACGACAUGGAACACCAGAGAACUAAGAAGCAAGUUCACAAAGUGAAAACAAAGCUGUUGUAUCUCUGAAAGUGUUUAAAAAUAAAAGCAGAAGUGGCCGAGGCGACAGCCAACACGCUUGAUAAAGUUGAACUUCUUGGCUGGAUUUUUGUCUUUGGAUACCUUUUGAAUCUCCCUGGAGUUGGGCCCCGGAUUUCCUCCUUUGCCUAGGAGGUGGUGCACCCAUCCAUCUACCUGAGAAGGAAUCCACCUAUUCCUUCUCUUCUGUUGGAGAAGUUAUCCGCUGUGGUAGGACUAACAUAGAUCACAAACUGUUGUUGACUAAUACCAUUGGGUGCAGCCACAAAGAAACAACUGCUCUAAGCUCUCCAAGGCAGGAGCAGGAAUCCCAAAUUAUCCAGGGGGUUAGGGGGCGCAGUGCCCCUGAGCCCCGAGCCCCAUAGCAGAGGUAACGUAUUCAAUGGCCUGGGGCGAGUGGAGGAGAGGAGCGGCCCUGCUGCAUACUGAUGGCAGGGAGAGAAGCCAGUAAUUGGAGCUGCAGAGGAGAGGGGAGAGGGGGGCAAGCACUGGGAGAUGAUGGCUUUGUUUUCUCUCUUCCUGUCUGUGCUGCUCAAACUCCUCCUCCCAGGCCUCGCUCUCCCUCACACUCACUAAGUAGAGAUAUGGAGAAAUUGAA